GACGAACGCUGGCGGCGUGCUUAACACAUGCAAGUCGAACGGUCCUGUUUUUGAAGCGCUUCGGCGUGGAGGGAGCGGGUUAGUGGCGCACGGGUGAGUAAUGCGCGAGGACCUGCCCGCGGGAGGGGGACAGCAGUUGGAAACGGCUGGUGAUACCCCGUAAGCCGGGAGGUAAAAGGGCGGAGACGCCCGCCUGCGGAUGGACUCGCGUCCUAUCAGCUAGUUGGUGAGGCAACGGCUCACCAAGGCGACGACGGGUAGCCGGCCUGAGAGGGUGUCCGGCCACACUGGAACUGAGACACGGUCCAGACUCCUACGGGAGGCAGCAGUGGGGAAUUUUGGGCAAUGGGGGAGACCCUGACCCAGCGACGCCGCGUGAGGGACGAAGGCCCUUGGGUCGUAAACCUCUUUUGCAGGGGAAGAAGAAGAUGACGGUACCUUGCGAACAAGUCCCGGUAACUACGUG
rnacentral:rRNA from 1 species